AGAAGCUCGAGGGUCUUUUCCUCCUGUAGUACCUCAGAUGGUCAAAGUUUCAAUGUGGAUUGGUCAGUGGACACUGAUCAGAAGCCGUCUUGCUACUUUGAAGGACUUGGCGUGGAUAUAUGAGUUGAAGAUGUAAGCGGAGAGAGUUUAAAAAUCAGAGAGAGGCCACAGAUAUCUUUGAAGACCUUCAGUUUGGCCACCCUAGACGGGCGUCUGGUGUCUCCGGAAACAGAAGUGUUCGAGUCGGGCAUGUGGUUGCAGUGUGUUCCUGCUCCUGACAGCAGUCCCAGCUGGGAUUGGAGGAUCAGAGACGGAAAACUGGAUCUGCAAGAAUAUGAUGAACAUACAGAUACCUGCUCAACUGUGGCGCUCUAGCAAAAGUGACCAUUGCAAAACAAAAAGAACUGAGCUUUAUGCAUCCCAUUCCAUUAUUUUCAUUCGUGUAGUAACUUGUUUUUGAUUGAAUUUA